CAAGAUAAACUACUUUUAUCAACUUUUUAUUCAAUUGCAUUCGUCUCACUUUAAUAUGAAAAUGCAUCCCUAUUUUGGACGAGUGGUACAUCCCACUCUCCCUGCACAUCGAAAAUAUUUGUUCUUCGUUCACACCCCCGUUUUCUAAUUAUUUGAAGCAACAAAGCUCCAUAGUCGACUGAGAGGAAUCUAUCGGAAGCCUAGUGUACUUGCAUGGAUUCAUUAAACAUCGAGCAAUCACGACUGGAAUAGUUAUUUCCUAUUCUCAAGUUUAAACAUUUUACGUACACCCAACUUUAUUUCUGCAUGCUCAAAGAAUCACUUCAGUCGGCUCUCAUUGGGUUGAAUCAUUUUGUUCGUAGUGGAGAUCAACUUUGUUGUUUUAUUUCCUCGUUUGAAAGGUCUUAGAUCGCGUCAACUCACCAACAUCAAUUAAGACGUGACAUGGAGCCUGUCCAGAAGCAGGAAGAAA